GAUGAACGCUGGCGGCGUGCUUAACACAUGCAAGUCGAGCGAACAGGCGCGACUUUUGUUUCUUUGAUGUUUGCCGAGGACGUGUGUGUCACAUGUGGAACAUCCCCCUAUCUUACUGGUAUCACUUCGGAACACGGUCGAUUAUACCGGAUAAUCUUUUGAUCCGCUUGGGUCAAAUGUGAAAGACGGUCUUGCUGUCAGUUAUAGAUGCAUCCGCGCUGCAUUAGCUUGUUGGUAAGGUCACGGCUUGCCAUGGCAACGAUGCAUAGCCGACCUGAGAGAGUGAUCGGCCGCACUGGAACUGAGACACGGUCCUGAGGCCUACGGGAGGCAGCAGUAGGGAAGCGUCCGCAAUGGGCGAAAGCCUGACGGAGCAACGCCGCGUGAGUGAUGAAGGUCUGCGGAUCGUAAAACUCUGUUAUUAGUGAAGAACAGAUGUGUAAGUAACUGUGCACAUCGUGACGGUACCGAAUCAGAAAGCCACGGCUAACUACGUG
rnacentral:rRNA from 1 species